rnacentral:lncRNA from 1 species
GAUGUUCUGCCAGGUGGGCUGGAAGGACUCUGAGAAAAUAACAUUACUUGCAAACAAGAAUGUUUAUCUGUUCUUAAGGAACAGAGCUCAGAAUGCUCCAGCCCAAGAGUAGAUUAAGACAUGAUCAGCAAGUUACUUCUGAUUAGUAAAUUACUUCUGCACAUAAUGUUUUGCAAGCUUAUAGACCUGAGUCAUUGCUGUUGGAAUGAUGCCUUCUUUGUUCACAAUACUAUAUAAAGACUGCUGUAUUCAAUGAAGGGAGCUUCUUCUUCUUCUUCUUGCUCAUGCUGACCUACAUUUAAGUUCUUUGCAACAAUUGGCAUAGUCGGCAAGAUUCAGCACCGAAAGGGUAAGCACCCUGGGUUUCGAAAACGAAAGCGGUACUUUUGGGAUUAACAUGGGAAACUCCCAAUCCU